AGAAUCAACGCUGGCGGCGUGCCUAACACAUGCAAGUCGAACGAGAAAGUGGAGCAAUCCAUGAGUAAAGUGGCGACCGGGUGAGUAACACGUGACUAACCUACCUUCGAGUGGGGGAUAACCUCGGGAAACCGAGGCUAAUACCGCAUAACAUCGUGAGAUCAAAGCAGUAAUGCGCUGGAAGAGGGGGUCGCGGCCGAUUAGUUAGUUGGCGGGGUAAUGGCCCACCAAGACUGUGAUCGGUA
rnacentral:rRNA from 1 species